rnacentral:rRNA from 1 species
UGGGGAAUAUUGGACAAUGGGCGCAAGCCUGAUCCAGCCAUGCCGCGUGAGUGACGAAGGUCUUCGGAUUGUAAAGCUCUUUUACCAGGGACGAUAAUGACGGUACCUGGAGAAUAAGCCCCGGCUAACUUCGUGCCAGCAGCCGCGGUAAUACGAAGGGGGCUAGCGUUGUUCGGAAUUACUGGGCGUAAAGCGCACGUAGGCGGAUUUGUAAGUCAGGGGUGAAAUCCCGGGGCUCAACCUCGGAACUGCCUUUGAUACUGCAAGUCUCGAGUCCGAUAGAGGUGAGUGGAAUUCCUAGUGUAGAGGUGAAAUUCGUAGAUAUUAGGAAGAACACCAGUGGCGAAGGCGGCUCACUGGAUCGGUACUGACGCUGAGGUGCGAAAGCGUGGGGAGCAAACAGGAUUAGAUACCCGAGUAGUCCCUGAGCGGGCUGGCAAGGCGCAU